rnacentral:rRNA from 1 species
UACGUAGGGUGCAAGCGUUAAUCGGAAUUACUGGGCGUAAAGCGUGCGCAGGCGGUUGUGCAAGACAGAUGUGAAAUCCCCGGGCUCAACCUGGGAACUGCAUUCGAGACUGCAUUGCUAGAGUAUGGGGAGAGGGAAGUGGAAUUUCAGGUGUAGCGGUGAAAUGCGUAGAUAUCUGAAGGAACAUCAGUGGCGAAAGCGACUUCCUGGACCAAUACUGACGCUCAUGUGCGAAAGCGUGGGGA